CCUACGGGAGGCAGCAGUGGGGAAUAUUGGACAAUGGGCGUAACCCUGAUGCAGCGACGCCGCGUGAGUGAAGAAGGAAUUCGUUAUUUAAAGCUCUAUCAGCAGGGGAGAAAAGGACGGUACCUGAGGAAAAAGCCCCGGCUAACUACGUGCCAGCAGCCGCGGUAAUACGUAGGGGGCCAGCGUUAUCCGGAUUUACUGGGUGUAAAGGGAGCGUAGACGGUAGUUCAAGUCUGGAGUGAAUGUCGGGGGCUCAACCCCAGGACUGCUCUGGAAACUGUACGGCUGGAGUGCGUGAGAGGUACGUGGAAGUCGUAGUGUAGCGGUGAAAUGCGUAGAUAUUAGGAGGAACUCCAGGGGCGAAGGCAGCUUACUGGACUGUAACUGACGCUGAGGCUCGAAAGCGUGGGGAGCAAACAGGAUUAGAUACCCGAGUAGUC
rnacentral:rRNA from 1 species